rnacentral:rRNA from 1 species
AUUGAACGCUGGCGGCGUGCUUAACACAUGCAAGUCGAACGGUGAACGAGGGAGCUUGCUCCCUCCGGAUCAGUGGCGAACGGGUGAGUAACACGUGAGCAAUCUGCCCCGAACUCUGGGAUAAGCGCUGGAAACGGCGUCUAAUACCGGAUACGACGCGCGAAGGCAUCUUCUGCGCGUGGAAAGAAUUUCGGUUCGGGAUGAGCUCGCGGCCUAUCAGCUAGUUGGUGAGGUAACGGCUCACCAAGGCGACGACGGGUAGCCGGCCUGAGAGGGUGACCGGCCACACUGGGACGGAGACACGGCCUAGACUCCUACGGGAGGCAGCAGUGGGGAAUAUUGCACACUGGGCGCAAGCCUGAUGCAGCAACGCCGCGUGAGGGACGACGGCCUUCGGGUUGUAAACCUCUUUUAGCAGGGAAGAAGCGAAAGUGACGGUACCUGCAGAAAAAGCACCGGCUAACUACGUGCCAGCAGCCGCCGUAACAC